rfam:Triticum aestivum genome assembly, contig: Triticum_aestivum_CS42_TGACv1_scaffold_405506_5BL
AAUAACCAAAUAUAACACUAGGACUAAGGGUCAAAUUGGUAAUUUUUCUUACAUCUCCCCCCCAGGGGCCCAGGUAUCAUGU